UGGCGGCGUGCCUAAUACAUGCAAGUCGAACGGCUUUUCUAUGGAAGCUUGCUUCCACUGAGAAGAUAGUGGCGAACGGGUGAGUAACACGUGGGUAACCUGCCCAUAAGAGGGGGAGUAACAUCCGGAAACGGGUGCUAAUACCGCAUAGUUUUCUUGAUCGCAUGAUCGGGAAAGGAAAGACGGCCUUUGUGCUGUCGCUUAUGGAUGGACCCGCGGCGUAUUAGUUAGUUGGUGAGGUAACGGCUCACCAAGACGAUGAUACGUAGCCGACCUGAGAGGGUGAUCGGCCACAUUGGGACUGAGACACGGCCCAAACUCCUACGGGAGGCAGCAGUAGGGAAUCUUCCGCAAUGGACGAAAGUCUGACGGAGCAACGCCGCGUGAGUGAAAGAAGGUUUUCGGAUCGUAAAACUCUGUUGUCAGAGAAGAACAAGUUGGAGAGUAACUGCUCCAGCCUUGACGGUAUCUGACCAGAAAGCCACGGCUAACUACGUGCCAGCCGCCGC
rnacentral:rRNA from 1 species